UACAGAGGGUGCUAGCGUUGUUCGGAAUCAUUGGGCGUAAAGCGCACGUAGGCGGCUUCGCAAGUCGGAUGUGAAAUCCCUCGGCUCAACCGAGGACGUGCAUACGAAACUGCGGAGCUUGAGUGCUGAAGAGGAUCGCGGAAUUCCCGGUGUAGAGGUGAAAUUCGUAGAUAUCGGGAGGAACACCAGUGGCGAAGGCGGCGAUCUGGGCAGACACUGACGCUGAGGUGCGAAAGCGUGGGGAGCAAACAGG
rnacentral:rRNA from 1 species